ACUGAGACUCUGUCUCAAGAAAAAAAAAAGACAAUGAAAAUGAAGAAGUUUGAAAUAUUACAAGAGUUACCAAUAUGUGAUACAUAGACAGAAAAUGAGCAUAUACUGUUGGAAAAAUUACGAUAGACUUGCUUGAUGCAGGGUUGUAAAAACUUUCUACUUGUAAAAAAUGAGGUAUAUGUGAAAUGCAAUAAAGCCAACUACAAUAAAAUAAGAUAUGCAUGUUUAGGAGAAAGAACAGACAAAAGAGUUCCCUAAAGAAAUAGUUACUACAAAAAAAAAUCCACAUAUGACCCUUAAUCGCAGUCUGUCUUUUACUACAGUGCCUCUGUCUUCCUCUUUUUCACUGUGACAAUUCUGGGGACAAAUAAAAUGUCUUUUCUUUUACCUACCCCUACAAUCCUCAAUAGUCAAUAGGUUCAUGACUAUAUCACCAACAUAGCUAGGAAUAAUCAAGCCCUAUUAUAAUAUAAUGUCAUUAUGUUUGCUGACUCUUACCUAAAAGAUUUGUCUAAAUAUAAAUUAACCAAUGCAUAAUAAAUACCUGG
rnacentral:lncRNA from 10 species